rnacentral:rRNA from 1 species
AUUGAACGCUGGCGGCAGGCCUAACACAUGCAAGUCGAGCGGUAGCACAGAGAGCUUGCUCUCGGGUGACGAGCGGCGGACGGGUGAGUAAUGUCUGGGAAACUGCCUGAUGGAGGGGGAUAACUACUGGAAACGGUAGCUAAUACCGCAUAACGUCGCAAGACCAAAGUGGGGGACCUUCGGGCCUCAUGCCAUCAGAUGUGCCCAGAUGGGAUUAGCUAGUAGGUGGGGUAAUGGCUCACCUAGGCGACGAUCCCUAGCUGGUCUGAGAGGAUGACCAGCCACACUGGAACUGAGACACGGUCCAGACUCCUACGGGAGGCAGCAGUGGGGAAUAUUGCACAAUGGGCGCAAGCCUGAUGCAGCCAUGCCGCGUGUGUGAAGAAGGCCUUCGGGUUGUAAAGCACUUUCAGCGGGGAGGAAGGCGUUAAGGUUAAUAACCUUGGCGAUUGACGUUACCCGCAGAAGAAGCACCGGCUAACUCCGUGCCAGCAGCCGCGGUAAUACGGAGGGUGCAAGCGUUAAUCGGAAUUACUGGGCGUAAAGCGCACGCAGGCGGUCUGUCAAGUCGGAUGUGAAAUCCCCGGGCUCAACCUGGGAACUGCAUUCGAAACUGGCAGGCUAGAGUCUUGUAGAGGGGGGUAGAAUUCCAGGUGUAGCGGUGAAAUGCGUAGAGAUCUGGAGGAAUACCGGUGGCGAAGGCGGCCCCCUGGACAAAGACUGACGCUCAGGUGCGAAAGCGUGGGGAGCAAACAGGAUUGGAUACCCUGGUAGUCCACGCCGUAAACGAUGUCGAUUUGGAGGUUGUGCCCUUGAGGCGUGGCUUCCGGAGCUAACGCGUUAAAUCGACCGCCUGGGGAGUACGGCCGCAAGGUUAAAACUCAAAUGAAUUGACGGGGGCCCGCACAAGCGGUGGAGCAUGUGGUUUAAUUCGAUGCAACGCGAAGAACCUUACCUGGUCUUGACAUCCACAGAACUUUCCAGAGAUGGAUUGGUGCCUUCGGGAACUGUGAGACAGGUGCUGCAUGGCUGUCGUCAGCUCGUGUUGUGAAAUGUUGGGUUAAGUCCCGCAACGAGCGCAACCCUUAUCCUUUGUUGCCAGCGGUUAGGCCGGGAACUCAAAGGAGACUGCCAGUGAUAAACUGGAGGAAGGUGGGGAUGACGUCAAGUCAUCAUGGCCCUUACGACCAGGGCUACACACGUGCUACAAUGGCAUAUACAAAGAGAAGCGACCUCGCGAGAGCAAGCGGACCUCAUAAAGUAUGUCGUAGUCCGGAUUGGAGUCUGCAACUCGACUCCAUGAAGUCGGAAUCACUAGUAAUCGUAGAUCAGAAUGCUACGGUGAAUACGUUCCCGGGCCU